rnacentral:rRNA from 1 species
GAUACCCUAUUAUUUUAAGCUAUAUAUUGGUAGUAAUUAAUAAUUUAUGAAAUCAUAAGAUUUUGGCGGUAUUUUAAGCUUAUUAGAGGAAUUUGCUCUGUGAUGGAUACAACGCCUCGAUCUUACUUAAUUUGGUUUUAAAAGUCAGUUUGUAUACCACUAUAUUUAAUUAUAUUGAAUAAUUAUAUUUAAGAUUUUUAUAAAAAAAAUAUAUUAAGUCAAGGUGCAAUUAAUAAUUAUGAAUGAAGUGAAUUACAUUAAUUUUAAUUUUAUUAAAAUAUUGAAAAAAAAUUUUUUUAGGAUUUAAUAGUAAAAUG